UCAUCCACUGCCAUGCAGGACGGCUUACCUCUGAAAUCAUGUCUUUGUAAACUGGUUACCCAGAGACAGAACAUGGGUCCCUCAAAGCCCUUCUUGUGAUGAUUCCUUCAACAUUCUGGGCAAAAUUGAGUCAACAGUAGCAACAGUGAUAUAUGAAAGGCUGCUAUUCUGACUCACUGACUGCCUGGUAUAGUCAACUCCUGCUUCCUUCCUCCUUCAUGUACACGUUCUUUCAUUUUUCCCAAAACCCUAUUGGAGGAGUGUUGUCACCCCCAUCUUAUAGAUGAGAGGGGGAAAAAAAUGAGGUCUGGGGAGUAAUGUAACCUACCUGAUCCAUGAGAACGCAGAGAGGUUAUCCAAAUAUAAGAUCGUAUAUAUCAAAUAUAAGAUCUAAUUAGCAUUGCCAUUUGAGGAGGAAGAUUGAUGUGGGCUGGAAGAAAAACUGUAGCCAAUAUCAUCACAUUUUUUUUCUUCCUGGUCUACACUGCCAGGACUCCGAUGUCACAGUCAACUCUGCAAAUCAGUUGUGAAAACACGACUAUAAAAGGUGAGUGGUAUUCUCAGUGGUGGUUGGUGUGUGUGAAAAUUAUGUUAUGCACAGUUACUAACAGAGAUCGCUGGCUAUGAAACAGAAACCCUAGCUAUGUAUACAGAGCUUUAAAAUAAGACACCACCUGACUCGCGACACAGUGGACAAAGACAAAGAACCACCCUGCCUUCACCUUUAUUUCCCACGACUGGAUAUUUUUGCCAUUGUGCGCAUCAGUCACUUUCACGUCGACAAAUAAAUCCAAAGCAGAAUAUAUAAAAGAGAUAACAAGUUGCACAAAGAGCCUUUCAGGGGGUAGAAAAACAAAAGAACGCUUUUGCCACCCUUAUUGAGACAGGACUAGCAAAGACACACGCGACCCACGCUGUUUUACCGACAACUAAAUUUUGUCAGGAUUAGCAUGGCGGGAGAUAUUCGGGGCGGGGGGGGGGGGAUACCAAACACAAGAAAGGCAGAUUUAAGAAGAAAGUUAAAUACGACACCUUUUGUGCCAGAAACCUACAUAAAGAGAUAGACGCCUGACAGCCUGGACAGACCAGGGGAAAGCACUCCUGCAAUUGCUGAACCGUCAGAAACCCUAGGCCAGUCCCUUCGUCUCAGAGCCGAAGCCCAGAGAGCAAGCAGGGUUGUCCAGAAUCACACACAUGCUCCAGGAAACAGCGGCUGAUGUUGUCCUCGGCACCAAGGAUGCAAAGAUGAAUGAUGUGUGGACUUAAAGUCAGAAAGCAAAAGUCGCAUCACCUGGCUCCCAUCACAGUGCUCUCUCCACGGAGGCCAAGCCUGGGUACGCACAGAAGAUAAUCCAGCCGUGUCCUGCAGCAACAGGGGGAUUAAACGGCCUCUCAAGGCUGAAACACCUAGAUACAUUAUUUACCAAAUAACGGAGCCAUAGAUUCUGUGAGCCUGUGAUCUUUAAUAUAGAGAUCAAAUUCAUACAUAGAUGCUUUCACUGACACCUCCCAUAUGGCAUUUCAAGAUUGUUUCUUCGCUUUUUGUCUCCUACGGGAUUCCGUGAGGGUUUCAGAAAAGGGGCAGCACAGGAAGCUUGUUUUGAAAAUCCAAAUCUUACCUGGGCCAAUUAUGGCUUCUUGGAAGAGAGAAAGAGGUAAUAACUGAACAUAAGCGAAAGAGGAAACUUUUCCUGGAGGCAAGAGAGGAGGCUGAGCGUAAUUCUCGCUGGCACAGGUCACCGUCAGAAAUCAAGGUCACCGUCAGAAAUCAUUCACGGAAUACCUACUGCGCAAGAAACUUCAGUCGAGGCUGGGAGGGAAGGGAAAACAAGGAAGAGACCGUGAUUUCGCCCCUUCAGCCUGCAGAGAAGCCAGAGCAGGAUCAGUAUGUGCACAGAGCGGGACACCGGCUGGAGAAGAAAACCAGCAGAAGCACAGCAAGAUGACAUCCAGAUGAAAUGCUGAGGCACAGAAACAGUCAGGUAGCUAGUAUGGCCGCCCCCCCCCCCCCCCCCCCCCGCCUGAUGUAAUGUAUACGGAGAUUCAUGUUUAUUGAUUCUGGGCCAAGCUUCAUCCCCAAAGCCCAUCAUCACUACCACCAUCCGAGGGCACGCAAAAUACAGAGCCAAAACUCUCACUUUUCCCUAGCAUGUCUCAAGUCCCAAUAUCCUCCUGUGGUGUGUAGGAGGGGAUGCCUGGCCCCAUCUCCUGCUGCUGUCAUUCCCUCAUGUCCAGGCAUGAAUGAAGCCAGAAUUGUGGGGGACUUUUUCCCACAAGAAUCCAGGUCCCUGUGUUGUUACUCAACUUCAUACAGCCGGUGCCACAUGUAAUUCACGGGCUAAUUACGCCCAAGAACCACGCUAUUGCUCAGCUCACAAGAAGAGAGAGAAUGAGGAAACUCUUCUGAUUGGACAACAGUUUCCCAGGGGAUGUGAGUCUUGCUGUUGUGGUUACUUAAGUUUCAUGUUGACGUUUGCUUUGAGUUCGGACUCUUGGAUUAUCUUGGAUAUCUUGGAUUAUCUUGGAUAUCUUGGAUACCUUGGAUUAUCUUGGAUAUCUUCAGACUCUUGGAUAUCUUGGAUCUCUAUGUUAUACACUCGAUGACCUCUGCCAUGAACCGCUGGUUACACCCACAGAAACGGUAGAAACGCAGUUGUCCCCUCACUCCCUAAUCCUAUGCCCCUGAUGCCCCAUACACCACUCUCACCCUGUUUAUCCAAAUUGCCACCACCGGGGCAGCAAAUUUACCAAUCCGCUAAACAAGGAAGCUAGAAGCAGCACAGAAGAGAGACAUAUUCUAUUCCCAGGAUCCUGUUCUCAACCCAGAUGGUCUGUUGGGCACGUUGCCUAAACUGUAUCGCUCUCACAUUCCCCAUUUGUAAAGGAGUAAUAACAAGCCACAGGUGAUUAUGAGGAACCAAUUUACAGGGGUAUGAAUAGUCUCUGAAAAAUGCAGAGUACUAGAGAAAGGCAAACUAAAGGUAAGCCACGGUGUUGAAGUAUAAAAUGUAUAUCCUGGUUUGACAUUAGUGUGCUAACUUUCUCGAACACUGAAGACACGUUGGGGUGUGAUUCAAGGAUUCAACACUUCAUGCUAAGACUCCGGAUGUCGAUACCAAUCAAUCUAGAUGGUGCACCACCAGAAACGGCAAUAAAACAAGUUGUCAAAGAUAAGUACGUUGAGACA